rnacentral:rRNA from 1 species
GACCUGAGCUACAGGCAAGACUACCCACUGAACUUAAGC